GUCAGGAGAUAUGAGGUAGGGUGGACUAUAAGGCCUAAGGUCAGGAGAUAUGAAGGAGGGUAGACUAUAAGGCCUAAGGUCAGGAGAUAUGAAUAAGGGUGGACUAUAAGGCCUAAGGUCAGGAGAUAUGAGGUAGGGUGGACUAUAAGGCCUAAGGUCAGGAGAUAUGAGGUAGGGUGGACUAUACGGUCUCAGUUCAGGAGAUAUGACGUAGGGUGGACUAUACGGUCUAAGGUCAGGAGAUAUGACGUAGGGUGGACUAUAAGGCCUAAGGUUAGGAGAUAUGUCGUAGGGUGGACUAUAAGGCCUAAGGUCAGGAGAUAGACCUUAUAGUCCACCCUACGACAUAUGCCAUCUUCUGACCUUAGGCCUUAUAGUCCACCCUACGACAUAUGCUAAGGUCAGGAGACAUGAGGUAGGGUAGACUAUAAGGCCUAAGGUCAGGAGAUAUGACGUAGGGUGGACUAUAAGGCCUAAGGUCAGGAGUUAUGAGGUAGGGUGGACUAUAAGGCCUAAGGUCAGGAGCUAUAUCGUAGGGUGGACUAUAAGGCCAAAGGUCAGGAGAUAUGACGUAGGGUGGACUAUAAGGCCUAAGGUCAGGAGAUAUGACGUAGGGUGGACUAUAAGGCCUAAGGUCAGGAGAUAUGAGGUAGGGUGGACUAUAAGGCCUAAGGUCAGGAGAUAUGACGUAGGGUGGACUAUAAGGUCUAAGGUCAGGAGAUAAGACGUAGGGUGGACUAUAAGGCCUAAGGUCAGGAGAUAUGAGGUAGGGUGGACUAUAAGGCCUAAGGUCAGGAGGUAGCAUAUGUCGUAGGGUGGACUAUAGAUUUAACUGAAUUUUUACUGAACUAUGCAUGCUUUCACCAAUGAUUGACAUUCAUUUUUAUUUAACCUUUAUUUAACUAGGAAAGUCAGUUAAGAACAAAUUCUUAUUUACAAUGGCGGCCUACAAAAAGGCAAAAGGCCUCCUACGGGGACGGGGGGCUGGGAUUAAAAAAUAUAAAUAAAUGUUAUAAAAAUUUACGACAAAACACACAUCUCGACAAGAGAGACCUAUUAAUGUGUGUGCUGUGACAAAAACACUGCGAAGUGCUCUCCUUCCAGACUCACGUUAAACAUCUCCAAUCCAAAAUUAAAUCUAGAAUUGGCUUCCGAUUUUGCAACAAAGUCUCCUUCACUCGUGCUGCCAAACAUACCCUCGUAAAACUGACUAUCAUACCAAUCCUUGACUUCGGCGAUGUCAUUUACAAAAUAGACUCAAACACUCUGCUCAGGAAAUUGGAUGCAGUCUUCCGUUUUGUCACCAAAGCCCCAUAUACUACCCACCACUGCGAUCUGUAUGAUCUCGUUGGCUGGUCCUCGCUAGAUAUUCGUCGCCAAACCCACUGGCUCCAGGUCAUCUAUAGGUCUUUGUUAGGUAAAGGUCUGCCUUAUCUCAGUUCACUGGUCACAACACCCACCCACCUGCUUUGGCCACAUUUCCUUCCAGUUCUCUGCUGCCAAUGACUGGAACGAAUUGCAAAAAUCAC
rnacentral:lncRNA from 1 species